rnacentral:rRNA from 1 species
CGCGGCCUAUCAGCUUGUUGGCGGGGUAAUGGCCCACCAAGGCGACGACGGGUAGCUGGUCUGAGAGGAUGGCCAGCCACAUUGGGACUGAGAGACGGCCCAGACUCCUACGGGAGGCAGCAGUGGGGAAUCUUGCGCAAUGGCCGAAAGGCUGACGCAGCGGCGCCGCGUGUGGGAGGACGCCUUUCGGGGUGUAAACCACUGUUGCCCGGGACGAAUAUCCUGUUUAGACAGGAUUGACGGUACCGGGUGAGGAAGCACCGGCUAACUCCGUGCCAGCAGCCGCGGUAAUACGGAGGGUGCGAGCGUUGUCCGGAAUCAUUGGGCGUAAAGGGCGCGUAGGUGGCGGGACAAGCGUGCGGUGAAAGCUCGGGGCUCAACCCCGAGUCGGCCGUGCGAACUGUUUUGCUGGAGCACUGUAGAGGCAGGCGGAAUUCCGGGUGUAGCGGUGGAAUGCGUAGAGAUCCGGAAGAACACCGGUGGCGAAGGCGGCCUGCUGGGCAGUUGCUGACACUGAGGCGCGACAGCGUGGGGAGCAAACAGGAUUAGAUACCCUGGUAGUCCACGCCGUAAACGAUGGGCACUAGGCGCUUGGGGGAGCGACCCCCCGAGGGCCGUAGCUAACGCAUUAAGUGCCCCGCCUGGGGAGUACGG